rnacentral:rRNA from 1 species
AGAGUUUGAUCCUGGCUCAGAACGAAUGCUGGCGGCACGCUUAACACAUGCAAGUCGAACGGAUGGUAGCAAUAUCAUUAGUGGCGAACGGGUGAGUACAAAGUAGGAACCUGCCCUUGGGUAGGGGAUAACUAUGGGAAACUAUAGCUAAUACCCUAUAAGCCCUUUGGGGGAAAGAUAUAUUGCCGAAGGAAGGGCCUACGUCGGAUUAGGUAGUUGGUAGGGUAAAAGCCUACCAAGCCUGAGAUCCGUAGCUGGUCUGAGAGGACGAUCAGCCACACUGGGACUGAGACACGGCCCAGACUCCUACGGGAGGCAGCAGUGGGGAAUAUUGGACAAUGGGGGCAACCCUGAUCCAGCGAUGCCGCGUGAGUGAUGAAGGCCUUCGGGUUGUAAAGCUCUUUUGCACGCGACGAUGAUGACGGUAGCGUGAGAAUAAGCCCCGGCUAACUCUGUGCCAGCAGCCGCGGUAAUACAGAGGGGGCUAGCGUUGUUCGGAAUGACUGGGCGUAAAGGGCGCGUAGGUGGCUCUACAAGUCAGAUGUGAAAGGCCUAGGCUUAACCUGGGGAUGGCAUUUGAGACUGUAAAGCUAGAGUCCGGGAGAGGAUAGCGGAAUUCCUAGUGUAGAGGUGAAAUUCGUAGAUAUUAGGAAGAACACCGGUGGCGAAGGCGGCUAUCUGGAACGGAACUGACACUGAGGCGCGAAAGCGUGGGGAGCAAACAGGAUUAGAUACCCUGGUAGUCCACGCCGUAAACGAUGAGUGCUAGACGUUGGAAGGUUUACCUUUCAGUGUCGCAGCUAACGCAUGAAGCACUCCGCCUGGGGAGUACGGUCGCAAGAUUAAAACUCAAAGGAAUUGACGGGGGCCCGCACAAGCGGUGGAGUAUGUGGUUUAAUUCGACGCAACGCGAAGAACCUUACCAGCUCUUGACAUGGGAAGUAUGGGUCACAGAAAUGAGAUCCUUCAGUUCGGCUGGCUUCACACAGGUGCUGCAUGACUGUCGUCAGCUCGUGUCGUGAGAUGUUGGUGUUGAGUCCCGCAACGAGCGCAACCCCCAUGUUCAGUUGCCAUCAGGUUAAGCUGGGCACUUUGAACAAACUGCCGGUGAUAAGCCGGAGGAAGGCGGGGAUGACGUCAAGUCCUCAUGGCCCUUACGGGCUGGGCUACACACGUACUACAAUGGUGGUGACAGAGGGACGCAAUAGGGCAACCUGGAGCAAAUCCUCAAAAGCCAUCUCAGUUCAGAUUGUUCUCUGCAACUCGAGAGCAUGAAGUUGGAAUCGCUAGUAAUCGCUAAUCAGCAGGUAGCGGUGAAUACGUUCCCGGGCCUUGUACACACCGCCCGUCACACCAUGGGAGUUGGUUCUACCUGAAGCUGGUGUUGCUAACCGCAAGGAGGCAGCCAACCACGGUAGGGUCAGUGACUGGGGUGAAGUCGUAACAAGGUA